GGGUCCUUUGUCCCCCAAACUGGACUUCCCGGCCAUUUUAACUAGUUCAGACUAAACUAUUUCUUUAACAAUGCAUAUUUGUCACUUGUAACAAAUUUAGAAAGACAGGAGAUCUUUGGUGAGCCAAGCGAUCACAAAUGCUGGUGUGGAGGUCUCGCUUCCUAUGUUUUUAUUUCCUGCUGUAAAGGACUAAACACUGGAGAAAAUAGCACCAUUUCUUCCACUAUCUCGACUUCAAGACAAACCUGAUCCCAAACUCUUCGCGUAGAAAUAAAAGUCUUGAAAACUAAUAAGUCAAUCAACAAUUCUCACCAGCUGUGCCACCAUUUCCCAUGGUGGGUAAGCCACACAAUGCCAUCUGAGCAUCCAAGCUGCUUUUCAAGAAAUCUCCAAUUCCAGGAAUAAAGAGAACAUCAUUCUGUUGUGGAGUGUUCAUCAGAGAAGACUUCUCGGACAUGGGUUUUAGCCAAUAGAAAGUCUUUCUUAGCUGACCAAUGACUACACUGUGUGUUCCAGAUCACGGUGUAGCACUGAGUCUUUCUCAGGGUUGAGCCUUUAAGCACAAAAUUCAUGUCCCAAGUUGACAUACUUCAGUUAUCAAGAACAGUAAGCCAGAAGCAGAACUACCGAAGCCAGAAAACAAGGGUGGUACUUUUAGGGACUCUCCCGGAACUAUGGACUUUGAUGGGUUGAGUUUUUGUUUUAGUUUUGACAGGUGGUGCCACCUACUGCAUACAGCCUGAAUGGCAGUCAAUUAGGGAGUCAGUUGUGCUAAGGUCUUAGGGCCUGUUACAUUCCAAAGUUGCAGAACCAAAGAAUGUGUCUGUGAGAACAAAGCUCACCUGGUAGUUGAUUGUGGGACGCCAGAACAAACGUGUGUAAAGAAUUCGUGUUUCUAUUUCAUUCUUCCUAUUUUCCAGAUGUUAUUCUACUGACAGGAAAGAAAGGCUGUGUAAAAGGCCCCCUUUCUGAACCAUAGUAAUUGCUUUUUAGUAAUCAUGAAAGCAUCAUGACUUCAUGAAUGUUUCUUUUUUAAAAUUAUUAUAAUACCAAAUUUUAUUCAUAAAUUAAGUGUAAAACAUGAUAAUAGUCAAAAUU
ensembl:processed_transcript predicted gene 11335